GGAAAAUGCAACAUUCUUGUUUGAUCUUUGUAUCUCUGUGAAAGGGAGUGUGCCAUUAAAAAAAAAAAAAAAAAGGUAUCAUUGUUUAUCAAAAUAAGCCUGGGAAUUAAAGGUAUCUGGCUGACAGUUUAACAUAUUUCUUUUUGCAGUUAAAAUAGCCCUCCUGACAGAGGCUAAAUAGUAUAAGAAAUAAUCAACCGCCUUCACCUGGGAAAAAGUCUGAACCUAGUUAUCUCUUUCUCUGUUUCCUUCCCCUAGCCAGUUCUCUGAUGGGGACUUGACAAGUAACAUCAAACAUGGCCCAAGAACAAAGCUAACCAACCACGGCCUGAAGCAUCCUUCAACCAAAAGUCACCUUUAGUCAAGCUUUGCCAUCUAAUUUGCAGUGUUUCUGUUUGUACUCUUCAGGCAGAAGAACUAAAACUCUUACAGUGUAAAGCUCUCUUGGUUUCUGCUCAGUAAGAUUACAUUGAGGAUGCUGCAACUAUUUAACACUUUUAGCAACCUUUGGC
rnacentral:lncRNA from 1 species